rnacentral:rRNA from 1 species
CCACCGUAAGACCCAGGUUUCCUGAUCAACGUUAAUCGGAUCAGGGUUAGUCGGGACCUAAGGCGAACCCGAAGGGGGUAGUCGAUGGACAAUGGGUUAAUAUUCCCAUACUGCUCAUACAGGUGAUGGAGUGACGGAGUGAUGAAAGAUCCGCCCGGUGACGGAAUACCGGGUUAAAGCGAGUAGGUAUUGGUCUGGUAGUUAAAUGCGCCGGAUUAGCCGAACGUGAUAGUACCGAGCGUCUUCGGACAAUUGGAUAGUGAUCCUAAGGGCUUCCAAGAAAAACUUCUAGCGUUAAGCGUAUAGAUACCCGUACCGCAAACCGACACAGGUGGUCGAGGAGAGAAUCCUAAGGUGCUCGAGUGAAUCAUGGCUAAGGAACUCGGCAAAAUGGCCCUGUAACUUCGGGAGAAGGGGCGCCCCCUGCGAGGGGGGCCGCAGUGAAGAGGCCCAGGCGACUGUUUAACAAAAACACAUGGCUUUGCAAAGUUUAACGACUAAGUAUAAGGCCUGACACCUGCCCGGUGCUGGAAGGUUAAGAGGGGAUGUUAGCGCAAGCGAAGCAUUGAAUCGAAGCCCCAGUAAACGGCGGCCGUAACUAUAACGGUCCUAAGGUAGCGAAAUUCCUUGUCGGGUAAGUUCCGACCUGCACGAAUGGUGUAACGAUCUGGGCGCUGUCUCAGCCAUGAGCUCGGUGAAAUUGUAGUCACGGUGAAGAUGCCGUGUACCCGCAACGGGACGGAAAGACCCCAUGCACCUUUACUGCAGCUUAGUAUUGGUACUGGGCAAACGAUGUGUAGGAUAGGUGGGAGACUGUGAGCCGGGUCCGCUAGGAUUCGGGGAGUCGCCGUUGAAAUACCACCCUUUGUUUGCUUGGUAUCUAACCCGUAAGACGGGGACAUUGCUUGGUGGGUAGUUUGACUGGGGUGGUCGCCUCCAAAAGGAUAACGGAGGCUUCCAAAGGUUCCCUCAGUACGCUUGGUAACCGUACGAGGAGUGCAAUAGCAUAAGGGAGCUUGACUGUAAGGCCGACAAGCCGAGCAGGGUGGAAACACGGGUAUAGUGAUCCGGCGGUUCUGAAUGGAAGGGCCGUCGCUCAAAGGAUAAAAGGUACGCUGGGGAUAACAGGCUGAUCUCCCCCAAGAGCUCAUAUCGACGGGGAGGUUUGGCAC